GAGGAGAGAGCCACUGAACUAUAUAACAUGGAAGGCUGACUCGAGCUCAAAAAGUGAAGCUAUAGUAUAGCUCAGUGAGUGAAGCCAACAUGGCGGAAUAAGGAACAGCCAUUGAACUAUAAAUAACUGGAAGGCUAAGUCAGGGGGGGAAGUUGAAGCCGUGCUUGAAGCUUUUUUUGUAGGUAGACCCAGUCCUUUUUAAAUUUUUUUUUCAAAAUAUGCACAUUUUUCGAUCAGAAAAAUCUUGCCCCAAAAUAUUAGUUAUACUACCAAAUUUAAUUUAUAUCAGUAGUAUUAUAAAUGAAUUUAAUAUUCGCAAAGCAAACAAAUCACGAAUUAGCAAAAAAUACGAAAAAACACGGCCAUAAGCAUGAACGGUCAGAAAAACCGCGCGUUUUAGGCUGCUUUUUCUGAGUUUUUGGAAGUUUAAGAUAAAACUAAGACGUCAUACCUCAGGAAUUAUUUAAACCCAUGCAAAAUACAUCUGUAUGCGAAGUUUCAAGAAGAUUGAACGUUUUAAGGUCGAAAAAAAAGCAUUUGAAAAUUGACAAAAAUAUUGCCAUAUUCAAAAUGCUCAUAGUGGCCAACAAGAUGCCGAUGACGAAAAUAACAUCACUUGAAAAACGCCAAUUUAUUUAUGUUUAAAAGCGACUAAAACAAGGACUAAAAGCUCAGGAUCAAUAACAAUACCUAGGGUUUAGUACAACAUAAAUUUUGGGACUGUCAAAAUGUUUUAUAGUAUAUAUUUUUGAGUUGAACGGCGAGGUUUCCUUCGGCACGUCCAAACUUUCGUCAUUUUUUCAAAAUACAAAAGCAAAACUCCUUACUUUUUGCUGCAGAGAGAUGUAAAACAGUUGGAACUAAUCGGAAAACCUGGUUUAAAUCCCAAUCAUUGUUGUAUUCCCAUGGAAAAAGUGUUUUUCUUGCAAAUUUUUGCUCGAAAACAAACUUUGGGCAGAAUUUUUUUCACUCCUCGAAACUCUCCUUAGUCUUUUUGAAAGCUGAUUUUCCCGCGCGCCGGCUUCAACGAAUCAUAGACUUUCAUCAUAGGAGUUAGCCUUCCAGUUAUUUUUAGAGUUCACUGGGAACCAUUGAACUAUAAAUAAACUGGAAGGCUAACUCAGGGGGGGAAAUUGAAGCCAGUGCAUUUUAGUUUUUCUGAGUUAUGAGCAGAAAUACUCAACACUGAACGUUGGGCUAUAUAUCAAAUUGGAGCUAUUGAAAAACUCUAUUUGGUGUAGAAAUUUCAAGACUUUAGCUAAGAGGGAAAUAUUGAAAAACUACAAACAAAAUUACCGAUAAUUUGCCGUUUUGCA